AACCGGCAGACGAGGUAGUAAUACGCAGGUACGCACCGAAGAGUCGGGCAUAGCUAGCCGAAAGGUUAGGUAAUUCCCGAUAGUCUCUCCGGAGUAAAGGAGUAAUCCGCUUUUUGAGCGGCCUGCGCAGCAUCAGCUAGUUGGUAAGGUAACGGCUUACCAAGGCUAUGACGCUUAGGGGACCUGAGAGGGUGACCCCCACCGAUAGCACUGAGACACGGGCUAUACAUCUACGGAUGGCUGCAGUCAAGAAACUUCCACAAUGGACGAAAGUCUGAUGGAGCGACGCCGCGUGGUUGAUGAAGUCCUUCGGGACGUAAAAACCUUUUAUGGGGGAGGAAGUAAUUGACGUUACCCCAUGAAUAAGAGGCUCCUAACUCUGUGCCAGCAGGAGCGGUAAUACAGAGGCCUCGAACGUUAUCCGGAAUCACUGGGCGUAAAGGGUGUGUAGGCGGCGAUGUUAGUCCUUCGUAGAAGCCCGUGGGCUUAACCCAUGGAAUGCGGGGGAGAGGGCAUUGCUUCGAGGAUGCGAGAGGUAUGUGGAACUCACAGUGUAGGGGUGAAAUCCGUUGAUAUUGUGGGGAACACCAAAUGCGAAGGCAGCAUACUGGCGCACUCC
rnacentral:rRNA from 1 species